GACGAACGCUGGCGGCGUGCUUAACACAUGCAAGUCGAACGGACAGGCCCUGCUUUUGUGGGGUUCUCGAGUGGCGCACGGGUGAGUAACACGUGAGUAACCUGUCCUUGACUUUGGGAUAACUCCUGGAAACUGCGGCUAUUACCGGAUAUGAGCUCCUGCUGCAUGGGGGGGGUUGGAAAGUUUCGGCGGUUGGGGAUGGUCUCGCGGCUUAUCAGCUUGUUAGUGGGGUAGUGACUUACCAAGGGUUUGACGGGUAGCCUGCCUGAGAGGGUGACCGGCGACAUUGGGCCUGAGGGACGGCGCAGAAUCCUACGGGAGGCAGCGGUGGGGAGUAUGACACAAUGAGCGGGAGUCUGUUGCAGAGACGCCGCGUGCGGGAUGACGUCCUUCGGGUUAUGAACAGAUUUCGCCUGUAACGAGGAGUGAGUGACGGUAAUGAGUAAAGAAGCACCGGCUAACUACGUG
rnacentral:rRNA from 1 species